CUGUCUUAAAAUUCACAAAAACACACAAGUAUAAGUCUCUCGAUGCUAAUGAAGUUUCACUGCAUUAAUAGUAAUUAACUUUUAGGUUGUCUUGUCCUGUUUCCAUGUUUUCAUAUAUCUUCAACUGUCAUUUCCGAGUUUUGUUCAGGUGAAGAAAACUAAUGGGCCUUUCUAUGAAAGAAUACCAUAUUUUUUGUGGAGUUUUUGUGUCUAGUUUCAUGUAGUUUCGAUUAUAGAUGCUCAAGAUUGUUCAUUAUGUCACAUUAUUUUUGCAGAUUCUAGUUGAGACUGGUCAUAUGGGGAGACAAGAUAAUGGGGCUGUUACGGUGAUGGAUGGGGAGACUGCAAGUUGUGGAAUAUGCUUCUACCUAGUAAUAUGUCAAUGAACUUAUCUAAAGCUUUCAUAAAAUCUCUUAGCAAUGCAACCUACAAGAACUGUUAGAAACGUAUUAGGCAAUAUGGCAGUAAUAAGCUGAAACAAAAAUAUUAUUGAGGACAGUUAUAAUGGCAAAAAUUAGGGGAAAGAGACAAGAGAUUAUUAACUCUUAUAAAUUUUGUGGUGUAUUGUCCGGAAACGACUACCGUCAAAUUUUUAGCAUUGCCAUAAUUACAACACCUUAUAAACUUUACUCACGCAUUUGGAACGGUCUUGAAGGCCCUGAAUCAAUCUGUACGUAGUUACUGAACUUUCUUCCUAAUAUUUUGCGUUUAUGUCUAAGGGAAGGGUGAGAGAUCACUGUCUUAAAUGAUGAGAACUAAUACAUUACAGGCUUCUUCUUGUCGAUCAUUUAUACAUCUGUUUGUUUGGUGGACAUUCCAAAAGAGCCUUCUGAUUUUUUUCCUCUUAAUGUAAAUUAUCAAGAACGAUGUUUGGCAGCACAGCGGGCAAGGUUUGUGACACAGUUUCCACGAUUUUGUUGAGAAGUUUAAUUUUGCAUCUUGUAAGUGAAGUUGCAUUUAAAUCUCUUUGCCCCUUUCAGUGGAGGUUUUUUUCGAAAUAGUGGGGGGGGGGGGGGGAAUCAAUUGGUAUCUCUACUGCAUUCAUGAUGUGUUUUUAUAAUUGUGUCAUGUUUAUGAUGAAGGAUAAUUUAGUGCUUUAUUCCUGAUAGCAGACACGUAUGCAACAAGGUAGAACAAACAGAACAUGCUAUUAUCAUUUGGCCAGGGAAUAACCUUAUUUUAUGACAUUAUUGCACCUUUUUGGAAGUUGUAAGCAUCACAAAAUGUGUGUCAACGAUGAUUUGCCUCCAUUUUCAACAUUUAGCAAAAACAUAUGGAAGGAAAGUGAAGUCCUUAUUUGGUGUUUCUUGAAAAGAAAUUACUGUUGUUUAUUUUGUUAUUUUUCUUUACUUGUAGGUUCUUAUUUGUAGAUUGAUUGAUAGGCCUUUACGUCUGACAAUGCCGAAGGGCUUGUACCAUGAAACUCAAGUUCUAUCUUGGGAAUUCACAUGAUUACCUCAUAAACCAACUUUUCUAGGCAUGACCUAAAUAAACUAUGUCCAUUUUUAAGACCUUUCUUUGCGUAAGUUGUUAGAUAUAAGUGUAUUGAGAUUAUUUGAUUGUGAAAGUAUGUUCCUGGUUUAAUUAUGUGACCUCAGUCCACGACAACUGCAAGAUCUCUGCCUUAGAUCCUUAUAAUUCUACAUCUGUGUAUUGGGUGCUUUCAGAUAUCCGCGGUUAUUUUUAAGAUGUGACAUGACAACAAAGUCUCUAACAAAUUAAUUUUAUUGCGCUUUUAUAUUAAAAGGAACUAUUGCAGAUGCUUUUUGAUAAUUCUGUAUGGGACCCUGCUGUAUUACUUGAUUUAAUGUAUUCGUCUAUGUCUAAGGUCUAUUAUGAUAAUUAUGGCCUAGAAAACUCCUUUUGUGGUUUUAGAUGAAAAAAGCCAUGAUUGCGAUACACUUUCAUUUUUUUGUCACUUGUGUGGAUUUUGUGUCCAAUAAUGCCAAUCACGAAAUUGGGUCUUUGCUUUAAUUAUGGUGUUAGUUUCCCUGUAUUCAAUCCAUUCAAGUGGUUACAGAGUCCCUUACGGCUCAAGUCUUCUCAAUUCCUUUGUUAAUGGAGAUACGUAUGCUUUAUGGUAAAUUUGUUCUUCACUUGAAAGUAAGAAAAGAUAUAUAUUUCAUUAACAAAAAGAUGCCGUCUAUUAGAAGUAACAAAAUUGACAAACAUAAUGGUGUGAAUAAGGUACUAUUUAACCACAAUAAAUCUGGUUGAGUCAUACUGGUUACUUUUUACUACUAGCAAAUAAAUCUGAGAUACUUUUGUGUUUUGUUGUAGGACAAUCUGAUGUUGGGCAGUUUAAUUUCUUUUUAUGGAUAAGUAAGUCUAUAAAUUUGUGUUUGAGUAUUCUGACUAUAUCAAUAAUGUUUGUCAUACCAUACCGAUCAGAUGAUUAACUUAAAAUUACAUACAACAGUCAUUUUUAUAAUGAAAAAAAAAAUUAACGUGGGUGGGUGCAACACUUGUUAAUGUUGGAAAUGUCUGUUACUCACAACAUUAUUGCUUUGUGUACAGGUUAAUCAAAAUAGGCCCGUAAUAUAGCUGUAACAAUCUUGAUGGUAACAUGUGCUUUGAUAAGAUGUAUGAAGUUAGUCAUAUUGCAAAUUAAUAUCUUGCCAAAAAGCUUGACAACAUUUUAGUUUGAGUUUCCCUUUAGUUAUUAGAGUAAUGUUUGAUGCUUUCAUUCUUCCUUAAUGGCUAUAGUGAAUGCCCCCUAAACCUAUAAGGUGAUGGAAUGGUAAUGUCAAUGGUCUUAGACAGUGAUAUCUGAUCUUGCUAGUGGGAUUGUUUACUAGGUCUUAAGCGGCUGAAGUUGAACUUAUGUGCAGUUUAAUCAUUGAUAGUAAAUCCUUGAUGUAAACGAGGGCACCUUGUUGCUCUCUCGAUGAUUGUUUCUUGGCAUGUUGAAGAACAUAUUUUUUACGUUCUACUUUUGACCUUUUUCUUCGAUUUGCUUUUUUGGGUUUUGAGCUAUGACGAAUUGAAUACCCCUGAUAGUUUAGCAGUCACAGCAGCUGGAAUAGCAGUGUAAGUUUUUUGAUCUUGCUUGCGUACCACUUGUACUUGGCACUUGCCGAUGGCUUAAUAUAUACAAGAAGGGAUUUUGAAUACAUGUUCAAUCCUGCUUCUUUGAGUACAACAGAGCUCUUUUGUAAGUGCCGAAUUCGAAGGCUAUUGCGCACAUAUUCAUUCCUUCUCUUGGUUAUUCUGUAUUGUUAUUGUAUACAUGUUCAAUCCUGCUCUUGGUUAUUCUGAUUUCAACUCCCUGACCAAGUGGAUCAUGCAUUGCAGGGUUACUGCAAUUUUCUCUUGGAAGAGAAGUUGCUGCAAGCUGUUGAAGCUGGGCAGGAAGCUGCGCAAGCAAUUUUCAAAGAGGUGCAUUCUUUGGUCAAGAAGUGUGGGAAGCCCAAAAUGCUUGACGGAAUUAAAUUACCCCCUCCUGAGCUAUAUAAGCAUGUUGAGGAUAUUGCUUGCUGGGAAUGAAUUGUUGAAGGUGCUGCAGAUCAAGGGAAAAGCCCCUAGGAGGAAGUCACUAGCAUCUUUAGAGGACAAGGUUCUGACUGUAGUUACAGAAAAGGGAUAUAAUAGUAAAGAUGCAACUUUUAUUGCUGCUGGAACGAUUCCAGACAUGGUAGUGGAUGAAGAUGAGGAGGAAGAAGUUGUUAUUGACAGAGAAAUUGAUGAAGGGGAUGUCCACAUAAAGCCAGUCUCACGAAAAUCCACUCCUGUUUCUCUCUGAGGUCGAUGUGAAGCUGGUGUUUAAAGAAGUUACAUCAAAGCUCUUCUGGAGACGUACGGUCGAGGGAGGAAAGCGGAGUGAUGGUCGAACCCCUGAUGGAAUAAGGCCAAUUAACUCAAGGUGUGGAUUGCUUCCUAGGGCACAUGGAAGUGCUCUUUUUACACAUGGCGAAACACAGGUAUAACAUUGCCGACUAUGAGGAAUGCACUUCUACAAGUAAGGGAUGGUCGAAAGCGGAUUCUUGUUUCUUUUGUGGUAAGAACAAAAUUGAAAUCAGUUGAAAAGCUAGAUGCUGGAAGCAAGCCAUAUCAAUGAAGACCUAGCAAAAGGCCAUAUAGGCCAUCGAGCCGACAGUCGUUGCCCAAUAUUGCUAGCCUCAUGCAACAGGCUGAUUUUCAGAGAACAAUUGUUCUUCGAGAAUCUAUAAUGGCUAGGGACAGUACUAACUCCUAAUUGUGCUGGAUGUCAAGCACCAAGGACUACGUAUGAGCAAACACUUUAGAGUUUAUUGAUUGGUAAGCACUCCCAGCAAGAGACAAAUUACGUGCUUGUCAGCUAGGAUAGUGAUGUUUCAUUUUCUUUUUUUUAUGAAACCUCUUACUAGGUAAUCUUGGUGGCAUCAUCCAUUCUACGUACUUUAUGCAAAUUCAUCUCCGUUUUGUCUACUUUA